GGGUCAAUUUAUGCCGUAGCACAUAUCAACAUUUAAAAAUGCAUACUGAAGCUAUAUGAAAUAAAAAUUUGUGUCUUUUUCAUCAUUUCUAUACUCAGGUUACAUGAUACAAUACAUAAGAGCACAAAAGGACUCUUGAAUUCAACUUUGUUUGCAGACAGUAUGGUCAGAUUGAAAGAUUUUCCAAUUUUUAGUGAAAAACUGGCAUACAAUUUUAGUCCCAAUAGGCUUAUAUUUGAACCACUUGCUAUCCUACAGAAGAAAAGAAAGAUAUUAUGUGAAAUGAAACAGGUACAAAAGACAUUAUAAAGUGCUUUUUAUACAA
rnacentral:lncRNA from 1 species